UACAGAGGGUGCGAGCGUUAAUCGGAAUUACUGGGCGUAAAGCGCACGUAGGUGGCGACGUAAGUCGGGUGUGAAAGCCCCGGGCUCAACCUGGGAAUUGCAUUCGAGACUGCAUUGCUGGAGUACGGAAGAGGAAGGCGGAAUUCCCGGUGUAGCGGUGAAAUGCGUAGAUAUCGGGAGGAACAUCAGUGGCGAAGGCGGCCUGCUGGUCCAGUACUGACACUCAAGUGCGAAAGCGUGGGGAGCAAACAGG
rnacentral:rRNA from 1 species